rnacentral:rRNA from 1 species
GAUGAACGCUGGCGGCGUGCCUAAUACAUGCAAGUCGAGCGAACAGACGAGGAGCUUGCUCCUCUGACGUUAGCGGCGGACGGGUGAGUAACACGUGGAUAACCUACCUAUAAGACUGGGAUAACUUCGGGAAACCGGAGCUAAUACCGGAUAAUAUAUUGAACCGCAGGGUUCAAUAGUGAAAGACGGCUUUGCUGUCACUUAUAGAUGGAUCCGCGCCGCAUUAGCUAGUUGGUAAGGUAACGGCUUAGCAAGGCAACGAUGCGUAGCCGAGCUGAGAGGGUGAUCGGCCACACUGGAACGGAGACACGGUCCAGACUCCUACGGGAGGCAGCAGUAGGGAAUCUUCCGCAAUGGGCGAAAGCUUGACGGAGCAACGCCGCGUGAGUGAUGAAGGUCUUGGGAUCGUAAAACUCUGUUAUUAGGGAAGAACAAAUGUGUAAGUAACUAUGCACGUCUUGACGGUACCUAAUCAGAAAGCCACGGCUAACUACGUG